rnacentral:rRNA from 1 species
UACGAAGGGGGCGAGCGUUGUUCGGAUUUACUGGGCGUAAAGGGCGCGUAGGCGGCGUGACAAGUCAGGCGUGAAAGCCCCGGGCUUAACCUGGGAACUGCGCUUGAGACGGCGAGGCUAGAGAUCGGGAGAGGAGAGUGGAAUUCCCAGUGUAGAGGUGAAAUUCGUAGAUAUUGGGAAGAACACCGGUGGCGAAGGCGGCUCUCUGGACCGAUACUGACGCUGAUGCACGAAAGCUAGGGGAGCAAACAGG